rnacentral:rRNA from 1 species
UGUAAGCGUAUACCAAAGUUGUUGCAGUUAAAACGCUCGUAGUCGGAAUUUGGCAGUUCCGGAUGUGUGCACGUCGUGUGCGCACUUCGCGGGGAUUGCUUUUGUGGUCUUGCGUAGGAUGAGGCACUUUUAUUAGUGAACGUCCUCACGCAACCACUUUUUACUGUGAGAAAAUCAGAGUGCUCAAAGCAGGCAUUUGCCGUGAAUGUAUUAGCAUGGAAUAAUAGAAUAGGACUUGGUUCUAUUUUGUUGGUUUGAUGGGACUGAGUAAUGAUUAAGAGGGACAGUUGGGGGCAUUUGUAUUUCGGUGCUAGAGGUGAAAUUCUUAGAUUACCGAAAGACAAACUGCUGCGAAAGCGUCUGCCAAGGAUGUUUUCAUUGA